ensembl:snRNA U7 U7 small nuclear RNA
AAAUAUUACAGCUCUUUUUAGAAUUUGUCUAGCACCCUUUCUAGUUUUUGCCAGAAAGUCCCU